UUGAGAUGUUGAAUUGGAAGUCUUGCAAUUAAAUCUUAGUAUAAUUAGAACUGAAGUCUGUAAAAUGAUAACUAUUUAUACUUUAAAGUUAUCAGUCAAACGCUUAAGUUGAGCGAAACAAAUUGGUGCAUUGAUCAAGGGGAGUACUUGAUGAUACUCCUCCUUCCUCUUGUUAUAUUAUAUUUCAACAAUCUUAAAGCUUAAGAGAGGGCUCAAAUGUCAAGAUAUUUCAAUUGGGAACUUCUUAGUAUUUAAGCACAUUAUAUUGAUGAUAUAGAACUUGAGAGGGGGGCACUGCAUUAGAUGAUAUUGAUUCUCAAAUCCACAACCUUUAGUCAAAAGUCCUUCGCAUCUAACUCACUUACCACUAGAUUUAGCUAUUGUUGGCUCUUCCUAUUUUCUUUUACAUGUUCUAUCAUGUCAGCAAGGGCGAGAGAAUGGCAAGUCACUUAGGUCAGGACAUCUUGCUAUUUAAGCAUAUUGUAGGAACCUUAUUUGGAGUUACGAGAUUUACAGGUCUUCACACCUUCUAUGAGAUGUGAGAGAUUGUUUGAAGCUUGUGAAGUGGGAUCAAAGGAGUUUUGCAUCUGCAAUUGGACCUGCUGCAGAGGAGCUUCUGGCUGCUGGUCUCGAAGGGUAUGUGAACCAGACCAGGCGCAUUGAAGAGCUUUUUGGGAAGAUCUGGCCACCACCCAAUGUCUGAACUUCAUACCUUUCUGAAGAUAGAGCUACCAAAGAAAA